CAUGCAAGUCGAGCGGCAGCGGGUCCUUCGGGAUGCCGGCGAGCGGCGGACGGGUGAGUAAUGCCUAGGAAUCUGCCUGGUAGUGGGGGAUAACUCGGGGAAACUCGAGCUAAUACCGCAUACGUCCUACGGGAGAAAGCGGGGGAUCUUCGGACCUCGCGCUACCAGAUGAGCCUAGGUCGGAUUAGCUAGUUGGUGAGGUAAAGGCUCACCAAGGCGACGAUCCGUAGCUGGUCUGAGAGGAUGAUCAGCCACACUGGAACUGAGACACGGUCCAGACUCCUACGGGAGGCAGCAGUGGGGAAUAUUGGACAAUGGGCGAAAGCCUGAUCCAGCCAUGCCGCGUGUGUGAAGAAGGUCUUCGGAUUGUAAAGCACUUUAAGUUGGGAGGAAGGGCAGUAAGCUAAUACCUUGCUGUUUUGACGUUACCGACAGAAUAAGCACCGGCUAACUUCGUGCCAGCAGCCGCGGUAAUACGAAGGGUGCAAGCGUUAAUCGGAAUUACUGGGCGUAAAGCGCGCGUAGGUGGUUUGAUAAGUUGGAUGUGAAAGCCCCGGGCUCAACCUGGGAAUUGCAUCCAAAACUGUCUGACUAGAGUAUGGCAGAGGGUGGUGGAAUUUCCUGUGUAGCGGUGAAAUGCGUAGAUAUAGGAAGGAACACCAGUGGCGAAGGCGACCACCUGGGCUAAUACUGACACUGAGGUGCG
rnacentral:rRNA from 1 species